CAGUACAUGUAUAACAAGAGUCUGUCACAACGACAGCAAACCGGAUUUAUUAACAUUUAUUUGUGUCCUGGCAAUAUCACAAGAACCAUUACUGAUGAAUGGGGAAAGUGAAAAUCGUCAAUAUCAAAUUUGAUCUCCAUUUUGUCAUCAGUAUCAACAUAUUAAAAUUUGAAAAGCUUAGAUUGAAUGGUUCAUGAGUAAAUGCAACAACGUGAAUGGGAACGCCAUUUUACGAUCUUUCAAGAACCAUUACUCCUGAACGGUAAAAGUC
rnacentral:lncRNA from 1 species